ensembl:lncRNA
GUCUUGCACGCAAUCUAACGAGUUAUUCAAUGUUUUUGUGGAUUUGGAAAAUAAUCUCUUUUCUGUUUAGACAAACCAGCAUUCUUGUUGAAUGCCAAAUGAUUUCUGCAUUAAAGCUGGAAGAACUGUGCUUUCCUUGAAAAACUAUUGGAAAAAUGUUCACUGUGCUUCAACUACAAAAGAAAAAGAGAAAAAAAUGGAAAAAAAUGGGGCAAAUGAACAAGCAUUAACAAACAAAGAAAAAACCCCACCCACAAUACUGCGAAUGUGAAAGUCUGUCUAGUCCUGAAAAGUCAUCGUGCAACCAGAUCUGACAAAUAGGACAGAAUCCUGCAACAUAACCUCUGUAUAGAUAUUGAUGGAUCCCACAUGUUGUGGAAAGCAGUGAUCGUUUAAGCUAAUUCUACACAUCAGUGCCCAUGAUCUGGGAGAAAACAGAAAGAACAAGCAAGCUUUCAUAACUUCCCUUGAUUCAGCUCAAACUGGGGUUUUCCCCUCACUGAGGAGAGGCACUGAGCAUUGCCAGCAAGGUUGAGGUCGGAACACACCAGUAAGUAGCCUGACUGUUGCUGGGGCAAGUGGAGAGGAAGGAAGUGGAGGGAGAACCUCAAAGACCUAGAAGCUGAGUAUGCCUACAGUUGUUAAAUUACUUCUUUUAUAAACUGCUUCAUCAAGAAAGCAUUGCUUGCCAAAUUGCAAGUGUGGAAAUAUAUGCUUAUGAGGGUGGUUUCUCACAAACCCUGUGACAGUAAGCUAGGUGAAUGUAGUUGUCCAUCAGUUUCUCAAGAGCUUUGAGAGUGUAGUUUCUUAUUUUACCUUGCAUCAUUUUUUCUGCUAUAUAAACCAGAUAUUUCCUCAGCAUACUGCCUGGAGAUCAAAGCAGGGGUUAAAAAAUGAAAUCUUACAUUUUACAAAAUUGAUACAGACCACACAACAAACUUAGGUAAAUAUUGAAACUACCAUUUCAUGUCCUUAUAUAGCAGAACUCAUAAAGUAUGACUUGUGGGUUAAAGUUGCCCCCUACUGUCUGAUAUGAUAUUUGCAUACCGAAAAGAAAUUUCUCAAUAAAAUUGGAGAUUAUUUUCUCUACUGCUUCUUUAAAGAACAUACUUUAAUUCUAAAUGUUACAGUUUCUUAUGGAGUUAUGGUGCAUACAAGAGGAGAUGUUAAAGGGAGCAAAUGAAUUCAAAGAUUUUUGAGUAACUUGAAGAUCUUUAUAUAGCAGUGUGUUUGUCCUUGCAGCAUCUGGACUAGUGUAAAUUCUGAAAUGUGCUGCAGUCCUUUCUCCAUUCUAAGACCAGUGAAAACCAACAGGCAGUACCAAGCUGAUUAAGUACUAAUAAUGAGUGAGCAGUUUAGUUCUCUUUAGGGAUGUACCUGAGUGUGAAGCAGUUCUGGUGUUCAAUUGAUUACAUAAAAAAUUGGAGCCAUUGGAAUUGAGAUAAUCUUAUUCAUUUUACCUACUUGUUUACCACGAUAUAAAUUUUGUGGGAUUUCACACAGUAGGAGCUUAUAUAUAAUUUUGAGGGAAUCUGUAUCCUUUCUGGGUGUUACAAACCUUCACAGAGUUUUAGUUUCUAGUUAGUUGCUUUAGGCUUCCCCUUUCUGACCUCUGAUUUUUUUUUUUUUUAAUAUGAUAACCAUAGUGUAUCCUUCUAUGAUUUUCUGACUUCAGAUAAUUUUUGUAUGUUCAAAUCCUUGUGGACAUGAAAGCUUUUAUAUUUCUUUGUUUUCAAAACAUGCCUUUUCAU